GCAGAAUAUAACUCCUAAAGUUAUUUGUUUUUGGUGCAAUAAACAACAUUAUUUAAGAUCUUGCAGAUAUUUUAUCCGAGAUAUCAAAUCAAAAGCAAAUGAGAAAUUAAAUUUGUUGAUUGAAAAUUUUGACAGAGAAAAUACAUGUGGAGAUAAAUCAAUUAAAGCCUUUCCUUGUAAACUUAUAAUCAGACAAAUAAAAGCAAUUUUAGCUAAAUCGAAAUUAGGAGACAGACAAGCAAUGCAGUGUAACACAGAAAGUUAUAAGAAUCAGAUAACUUCAAGAGAUGUGAU